rnacentral:rRNA from 1 species
AGUCCACAUCGACGGGGAGGUUUGGCACCUCGAUGUCGGCUCAUCACAUCCUGGGGCUGUAGUAGGUCCCAAGGGUUGGGCUGUUCGCCCAUUAAAGUGGUACGCGAGCUGGGUUCAGAACGUCGUGAGACAGUUCGGUCCCUAUCCGGCGCAGGCGUAGGAAAUUUGAGAAGACCUGUCCUUAGUACGAGAGGACCGGGAUGGACGUACCUCUGGUGUACCAGUUGUCCUGCCAAGGGCAUGGCUGGGUAGCUAUGUACGGAAUGGAUAAGCGCUGAAAGCAUCUAAGCGCGAAGCCAACUUCAAGAUAAGAUUUCCCACCGCAAGGGUAAGACCCCAGAAAGACUAUCUGGUUGAUAGGUCGAAGGUGUAAGU